AGCAGCCGCGGUAAUUCCAGCUCCAAUAGCGUAUAUUAAAGUUGUUGCAGUUAAAAAGCUCGUAGUUGAAUUUCGGGGUUAGUAGGUCGGUCGUGCCACAGGUAUGUACUGGUCUCACUGAUUCCUCCUUCCUGAUGAACCGUAAUGCCAUUAAUUUGGUGUUGCGGGGAAACUGGACUGUUACUUUGAAAAAUUAGAGUGUUUAAAGCAGGCUAACGCUUGAAUACAUUAGCAUGGAAUAAUGAAAUAGGACGUUCGAUCCUAUUUUGUUGGUUUCUAGGAUUGACGUAAUGAUUAGUAGGGAUAGUUGGGGGCAUUAGUAUUCAAUUGUCAGGGGUGAAAUUCUUGGAUUUAUUGAAGACUAACUACUGCGAAAGCAUUUGCCAAGGAUGUUUUCAUUAAUCAAGAACGAAAGUUAGGGGAUCGAAGACGAUCAGAUACCGUCGUAGUCUUAACCAUAAACUAUGCCGACUAGGGAUCGGAUGAUGUUAAUUUUUAAUGACUCAUUCGGCACCUUACG
rnacentral:rRNA from 1 species